UGUAUGGAUGUUGUUGUCUUCAGUUUGUACUGAAGCAUGUAAUAAGUUAACAGAUUGUUAGCUGCCAUGGACUCUAAUUUUGCUGGUAUGAAUGAAAUUCUAUUCAUCUCCAAAUUCUGCACCAAUUGUGUGAUAUGAUAAUGCCGAUAGAUCA